GGCGUGAUGGCCGAGUGGUCUAAGGCGAUAGACUUAAGCUUUGCAUGCAUUCUAUUGGGGAGACCCGCGCGAGUUCGAACCUCGCUCACGUCA